GGGGUGGGUAUCUUUUUAAUCACUCGUUGAGGAGAGGAGAUUUGGAGGGAUGGAAAUGAAAAAGUCUCUUCUAUCCUCUGACACUACUUUCAACGUAUUUGGUUACACUGCUUUGAACAAAUUUCGCACAAUGUGUAUUCGGUUAUUCUCAAGUUGUAUUCGGUUCCAGCUCUUAUGGGAUUUCAAGAAUGCCUCGUAUUCGGUGCUGGAGGCGGCACUGGAAGUGGAUAUGGUGGUAUUAGAGGUGGAGUUGGUAAUGGCGGUGGCAGUGGAGUUGGAGAUGAUACAGGAAGCGGUGUUGGAGGUGGGGUUGAUAAUGGCGAAGGCGUUGGAAGUGGUAUGGGAAGUGGUGUUGGAGUGGACACAAAGGUGGAGUUAGAGGUGGUGAAACCGAAGGCAGUGCUAGUGGAGGUAAAAGAGGUGAUGGUGCUGAUGGGGGUUUAGGAGGAGGUAGUGGAGUUGGAGGAGGAGUUGGUAGUGUCGAAGGAGAACCUGGUGGCAGACAUGGUGGUGGUGUCGAAAGAGGAAGUGGUGGGGUUGGAGGAGGUGUAACACGAGGAGGAUGGAUAGAAAGGGAAGAUGUCCAUUAUGAAUGGUAUGAGGAGAAGAAGUAGUGGGGUGCCGCACAUGGAUUGAAUGAGAUUAUACAUGUGCU
rnacentral:lncRNA from 1 species